AGCGAACGCUGGCGGCAGGCUUAACACAUGCAAGUCGAGCGGGCAUCCUUGUGGUGUCAGCGGCAGACGGGUGAGUAACGCGUGGGAACGUGCCCUUCGGUUCGGAAUAACUCAGGGAAACUUGAGCUAAUACCGGAUACGUGCGAGAGCAGAAAGGUUUAUCUGCCGAAGGAUCGGCCCGCGUCUGAUUAGCUAGUUGGUGAGGUUACGGCUCACCAAGGCGACGAUCAGUAGCUGGUCUGAGAGGAUGAUCAGCCACACUGGGACUGAGACACGGCCCAGACUCCUACGGGAGGCAGCAGUGGGGAAUAUUGGACAAUGGGGGCAACCCUGAUCCAGCCAUGCCGCGUGAGUGAUGGCGGCCUUAGGGUUGUAAAGCUCUUUUCUCCGGGACGAUAAUGACGGUACCGGAGGAAUAAGCCCCGGCUAACUUCGUG
rnacentral:rRNA from 1 species